rnacentral:rRNA from 1 species
CUGGCUCAGGACGAACGCUGGCGGCGUGCUUAACACAUGCAAGUCGAACGAUGAUGCCCAGCUUGCUGGGUUGAUUAGUGGCGAACGGGUGAGUAACACGUGAGUAACCUGCCCCUGACUCUGGGAUAAGCGUUGGAAACGACGUCUAAUACUGGAUACGACUGCCGGCCGCAUGGUCUGGUGGUGGAAAGAUUUUUUGGUUGGGGAUGGACUCGCGGCCUAUCAGCUUGUUGGUGAGGUAAUGGCUCACCAAGGCGACGACGGGUAGCCGGCCUGAGAGGGUGACCGGCCACACUGACUGAGACACGGCCCAGACUCCUACGGGAGGCAGCAGUGGGGAAUAUUGCACAAUGGGCGAAAGCCUGAUGCAGCAACGCCGCGUGAGGGAUGACGGCCUUCGGGUUGUAAACCUCUUUUAGUAGGGAAGAAGCGAAAGUGACGGUACCUGCAGAAAAAGCACCGGCUAACUACGUGCCAGCAGCCGCGGUAAUA